AUUGAGUUGAGACCCGAUUGAAGA
rnacentral:siRNA from 1 species